rnacentral:rRNA from 1 species
UACGUAGGGUGUAAGCGUUGUCCGGAAUUAUUGGGCGUAAAGAGCUCGUAGGCGGUUUGUUGCGUCGGCUGUGAAAUCCCGAGGCUCAACCUCGGGUCUGCAGUCGAUACGAGCAAACUAGAGUGUUGCAGGGGAGACUGGAAUUCCUGGUGUAGCGGUGAAAUGCGCAGAUAUCAGGAGGAACACCGGUGGCGAAGGCGGGUCUCUGGGCAACAACUGACGCUGAGGAGCGAAAGCGUGGGGAGCGAACAGG